AUUGAACGCUGGCGGCAUGCUUUACACAUGCAAGUCGGACGGCAGCACAGAGAAGCUUGCUUCUUGGGUGGCGAGUGGCGAACGGGUGAGUAAUAUAUCGGAACGUACCGAGUAAUGGGGGAUAACUAAUCGAAAGAUUAGCUAAUACCGCAUAUUCUCUGAGGAGGAAAGCAGGGGACCUUCGGGCCUUGCGUUAUUCGAGCGGCCGAUAUCUGAUUAGCUAGUUGGGGGGGUAAAGGCCUACCAAGGCGACGAGCAGUAGCGGGUCUGAGAGGAUGAUCCGCGACACUGGGACUGAGACACGGCCCAGACUCCUACGGGAGGCAGCAGUGGGGAAUGGUGGACAAUGGGCGCAAGCCUUAUCCAGCCAUGCCGCGUGUCUGAAGAAGGCCUUCGGGUUGUAAAGGACUUUUGUCAGGGAAGAAAAGGCUGUUGCUAAUAUCGACAGCUGAUGACGGUACCUGAAGAAUAAGCACCGGCUAACUACGUG
rnacentral:rRNA from 1 species